AACGCACCUUGCGCUCCUUGGUAUUCCGAAGAGUAUGUCUGUUUGAGUGUCGUGAAAUUCUCAACCCCCCUAUCUUGUAAUGGAAUAGUGUGUGGGCUUGGAUUAUGGCUGCUUGUCGGAUCUUACCAGACCGGGCUCAGCUGAAAUACACGAGCGACCCAAAUGAAUAGUGACGGCUUGACUCGGCGUAAUAACAUAUUCGCUGGGGACGUCCAUUUCUCCGUGGUGCUUCUAAUGCGAUAUAAUCAUCUAAGCUUUAGACCUCAAAUCAGUCAGGACUACCCGCUGAACUUAA
rnacentral:misc_RNA from 1 species